GAAUUUUUCUAAAAAUAGUCAGUAUAAUACCAAUUGCCUUAUCGUCUCGCCAUGUACGCGACGGCAACAUACAAGUGCACGGCCCUUACAACGUACCUACCACAGCUAUGACCUUCAAGAAAUUUUAUGUGUAAAACAGAAAAAUCAACGCCAUCGUUGUUGUCGAUGCGACACGAUUAAACUUGUUCGUUAUCGCGUCCUUUGUUUUCACUGCUCGGUGUAGUCGCAUAUGAUAAAUGAUCUACUUAUUCGCUUUAAGACUUUCCCUUUGCGUGUUGUGCCCGUUAAUUUUCUCAUUGUCGUUGAACGUCAUAUAUUUUUUGUGUUUUUGAAAACAUUAACUAUCGGUUUUAUUUAAUUUGUUUAGUUUAAUAGAAGUUUUUUUAUGUACAUUUAAUUCACGGUGGCACAUACCUAUUUUAAAAAAAUUAAUUUUAUUUGCAAGGAGGUACAUCGUUGUGCUUAGUAAGUGUCGCAAUUAACUACCAAUAUUUUCAGUAAGUAGUUUAGAAAUUGUAGAUUACUUAAAGUUUUCUUUUCAUCAUCUCGGCGUCAGUGGUUUUAAAUUUGCCUAUAAAAAUCACGAUUUGUCAAUUGGCGUCGAUGAUUAAAAAAUGUGUAGCUAGUACCACUGACUGUGGGCUUAUGUGUGUUGAAAGCCAACGGGUCUGGUGAAUUCGCCAUUCCUAUGUCUCCACUUUUGCUAAUGGAAAACGGAUUAUGAUUAAAAUUGUUCAAUUUUUGUCUACCACUUGACUUGAAAUAUAUAAUGUAAGAAGACAACAGUGAGGAGAGU